rnacentral:rRNA from 1 species
GCUACACAUGCAGUCGAACGAUGAAGCUGGAGCUUGCUCUGGUGGAUUAGUGGCGAACGGGUGAGUAACACGUGAGUAACCUGCCCUUGACUCUGGAAUAAGCGUUGGAAACGACGUCUAAUACCGGAUACGAGCUUCCGCCGCAUGGUGAGGAGCUGGAAAGAAUUUCGGUCAAGGAUGGACUCGCGGCCUAUCAGGUAGUUGGUGAGGUAAUGGCUCACCAAGCCUACGACGGGUAGCCGGCCUGAGAGGGUGACCGGCCACACUGGAACUGAGACACGGUCCAGACUCCUACGGGAGGCAGCAGUGGGGAAUAUUGCACAAUGGGCGCAAGCCUGAUGCAGCAACGCCGCGUGAGGGACGACGGCCUUCGGGUUGUAAACCUCUUUUAGUAGGGAAGAAGCGAAAGUGACGGUACCUGCAGAAAAAGCACCGGCUAACUACGUGCCAGCAGCCGCGGUAAUACGUAGGGUGCAAGCGUUAUCCGGAAUUAUUGGGCGUAAAGAGCUCGUAGGCGGUUUGUCGCGUCUGCUGUGAAAACUGGGGGCUCAACCCCCAGCCUGCAGUGGGUACGGGCAGACUAGAGUGCGGUAGGGGAGAUUGGAAUUCCUGGUGUAGCGGUGGAAUGCGCAGAUAUCAGGAGGAACACCGAUGGCGAAGGCAGAUCUCUGGGCCGUAACUGACGCUGAGGAGCG